AUUGAACGCUGGCGGCAGGCCUAACACAUGCAAGUCGAGCGAGCGGCGGACGGGUGAGUAAGGUCUGGGAAACUGCCUGAUGGAGGGGGAUAACUACUGGAAACGGUAGCUAAUACCGCAUACCAUCAGAUGUGCCCAGAUGGGAUGAGCUAGUGGGUGGGGUAAUGGCGCACCUAGGUGACGAUCCCUAGCUGGUCUGAGAGGAUGACCAGUCACACUGGAACUGAGACACGGUCCAGACUCCUACGGGAGGCAGCAGUGGGGAAUAUUGGACAAUGGGCGAAAGCCUGAUGCAGCCAUGCCGCGUGUGUGAAGAAGGCCUUCGGGUUGUAAAGCACUUUCAGCGGGGAGGCGUUACUCGCAGAAGAAACACCGGCUAACUCCGUGCCAGCAGCCGCGGUAAUUC
rnacentral:rRNA from 1 species